rnacentral:rRNA from 1 species
UUCCAGACUCCUACGGGAGGCAGCAGUGGGGGAUAUUGCACAAUGGGGGAAACCCUGAUGCAGCGACGCCGCGUGGGUGAAGAAGCGCCUCGGCGCGUAAAGCCCUGUCAGCAGGGAAGAAAAUGACGGUACCUGAAGAAGAAGCCCCGGCUAACUACGUGCCAGCAGCCGCGGUAAUACGGGGGAUGCGAGCGUUAUCCGGAUUUAUUGGGUUUAAAGGGUGCGUAGGCGGCGCUUCAGGUCAGCGGUGAAAUACCGGGGCUCAACCCCGGGGCUGCCGUUGAAACCGGAGCGCUAGAAUUCCGAUGCCGUCGGAGGAAUGUGUGGUGUAGCGGUGAAAUGCAUAGAUAUCACACAGAACACCGAUUGCGAAGGCAUCUGACGAAUCGGAGAUUGACGCUGAUGCACGAAAGCGUGGGUAUCGAACAGGAUUAGAUACCCCCGUACUA